rnacentral:miRNA from 10 species
GCUUACAUUCUGAACGUCUAAAGGUU